GACGAACGCUGGCGGCGUGCUUAACACAUGCAAGUCGAACGGAAAGGCCCUGCUUUUGUGGGGUGCCCGAGUGGCGAACGGGUGAGUAACACGUGAGUAACCUGCCCUUGACUUUGGGAUAACUUCAGGAAACUGGGGCUAAUACCGGAUAGGAGCUCCUGCUGCAUGGUGGGGGUUGGAAAGUUUCGGCGGUUGGGGAUGGACGCGCGGCUUAUCAGCUUGUUGGUGGGGUAGUGGCUUACCAAGGCUGUGACGGGUAGCCGGCCUGAGAGGGUGACCGGCCACAUUGGGACUGAGAUACGGCCCAGACUCCUACGGGAGGCAGCAGUGGGGAAUAUUGCACAAUGGGCGGAAGCCUGAUGCAGCAACGCCGCGUGCGGGAUGACGGCCUUCGGGUUGUAAACCGCUUUCGCCUGUGACGAAGCGUGAGUGACGGUAAUGGGUAAAGAAGCACCGGCUAACUACGUG
rnacentral:rRNA from 1 species